rnacentral:rRNA from 1 species
AGCUCCAAUAGCGUAUAUUAAAGUUGCUGCAGUUAAAAAGCUCGUAGUUGGAUUUGUGGCGCGGCCGUCCGGCGGGGGUCCUUCUAUGGUCUCGUUUGUCCUGGUUUUCGGCCGCUCCUUUCUCGGGUAGAGCGUAAUGGCUGGCAUUAGGUUGUCGGCCGCUUCGCGCCCGUCGUUUACUGUGAAAAAAUUAGAGUGUUCCAAGCAGGCGCGUUCCGCCCGAAUAAUGGUGCAUGGAAUAAUAGAAUAGGACCUCGGUUCUAUUUUGUUGGUUUUCGGAACUAGAGGUAAUGAUUAAGAGGGACAGACGGGGGCAUUCGUAUUGCGGUGUUAGAGGUGAAAUUCUUGGAUCGCCGCAAGACGAACUACUGCGAAAGCAUUUGCCAAGAAUGUUUUCAUU